rnacentral:tRNA from 1 species
GUUUUAAUAAUUUAAGCCAAAAUAUUGGUCUUGUAAACCAAAAAUAAGGUAAACCCUUCUAAAACU